rnacentral:rRNA from 1 species
AUUGAACGCUGGCGGCAGGCCUAACACAUGCAAGUCGAGCGAGUGGCGGACGGGUGAGUAAUGUAUGGGGAUCUGCCUGAUAGAGGGGGAUAACUACUGGAAACGGUAGCUAAUACCGCAUACCAUCGGAUGUACCCAUAUGGGAUUAGCUAGUGGGUGGGGUAAAGGCUCACCUAGACGACGAUCUCUAGCUGGUCUGAGAGGAUGAUCAGCCACACUGGGACUGAGACACGGCCCAGACUCCUACGGGAGGCAGCAGUGGGGAAUAUUGCACAAUGGGCGCAAGCCUGAUGCAGCCAUGCCGCGUGUAUGAAGAAGGCCUUAGGGUUGUAAAGUACUUUCAGCGGGGAGGCGUUACCCGCAGAAGAAGCACCGGCUAACUCCGUGCCAGCAGCCGCGGUAAUUC